CUUGAUGUGUAGGAUAGGUGGGAGGCUUAGAAGUGUGGACGCCAGUCUGCAUGGAGCCGACCUUGAAAUACCACCCUUUAAUGUUUGAUGUUCUAACGUUGACCCGUAAUCCGGGUUGCGGACAGUGUCUGGUGGGUAGUUUGACUGGGGCGGUCUCCUCCUAAAGAGUAACGGAGGAGCACGAAGGUUGGCUAAUCCUGGUCGGACAUCAGGAGGUUAGUGCAAUGGCAUAAGCCAGCUUGACUGCGAGCGUGACGGCGCGAGCAGGUGCGAAAGCAGGUCAUAGUGAUCCGGUGGUUCUGAAUGGAAGGGCCAUCGCUCAACGGAUAAAAGGUACUCCGGGGAUAACAGGCUGAUACCGCCCAAGAGUUCAUAUCGACGGCGGUGUUUGGCACCUCGAUGUCGGCUCAUCACAUCCUGGGGCUGAAGUAGGUCCCAAGGGUAUGGCUGUUCGCCAUUUAAAGUGGUACGCGAGCUGGGUUUAGAACGUCGUGAGACAGUUCGGUCCCUAUCUGCCGUGGGCGCUGGAGAACUGAGGGGGGCUGCUCCUAGUACGAGAGGACCGGAGUGGACGCAUCACUGGUGUUCGGGUUGUCAUGCCAAUGGCACUGCCCGGUAGCUAAAUGCGGAAGAGAUAAGUGCUGAAAGCAUCUAAGCACGAAACUUGCC
rnacentral:rRNA from 1 species